CGACCCUCCUUUCGUUCUCAAGGUCGCACGCUCCCACCCCCACCUGGCGGCUGGGAGCGACCGAUGCGAGAGCGACGACUCCGACGGCGUCCCCGCUGGGUUCGGACAGAGGCGACUCACUCGAGCGAUAGGGUCACGUCUCCGAGCAACGCGACGGGGAGCUGGUGGGGUUAAAAAUGAAGCAUCAACCACAAUUGGAGUCGAUUCGCCGGUGAUUGAAGAUGCAAAUCGUAGUUGAUGCAGCCAAUUACUGGCAGUAGAUGCUCUGGCCAUCGAUAAUUGCAGCCAUGGUUGGCGUGUAGGUCGAGGAUUCAUCUUCCCCUUUCUGUCAGUCCUCCACUCUCUCCUUCGAAUUCCGAUGGCUCGUGAUUCAUUAAGUUUUUAAUUUCUGGGAAUCUCUUUUGCUGGACCAGAAAUUCGAAGGCACAUCCUCUGUAUCUAUACUGGUUGAACUGGGAUGGUACACCAGAGAAAUCUCUUCGUAUUUCACAUGCAGACAUGCUUGCCUUUUACUACAUCCCUGAGCAGAAGCUCAUAUGUGGGCCCCUACUCAUGUUGAGCCACGAAGCAAGGAAGGAUGAGUGGUUGAACUACUGAUCACAUGGUCCCUCUGAUUUAGUAUGAUUCAACCCGUUGUUGGGGAAGAGACGUGAGAUCGUAUCCAACAUUGUGACCAGGUCGAGGGAUCAAUUCCUUUGUGCUAUCGCCAGGAAAUAAAUUGACCUGUCUCUCGUGAGAAAUUUCUCCUAUGAGAUUUAAUUUCACAUAUUCAGUACAUGGACGGCUAGGUGAUUUUGUGGCUGCUUGCUACAGAUGAUUUGUCCCUACAAAUUUUUAGGAUUCAUGGGCAUUGACCCUGCUCAAGGCAUAUAACAUGGAGCGAUCUGUUAAUGCCGUUGGCAUAUCUUCUCCACUUGGUCAUGUAUGCUCCUGUAUCCGAGACUUCAGUCAUAUCACUGCCCAUAUGCGCAGGUCCCUAAGUUGUUGUGAGCAGUUCUGCAUACAGUGUGAUUUUGAACACUGAUGAUAUUUUUAAGUGGGUUCGUUCCAUGCUAAAAAACUGUAUCUUCCUCAUGUGUAAAUAUUUGAAGAUGACAAGCACUCAUGAUAUGUCGCUUUUUCCAUUUGCCUUCUGAUUUUUUUUCUCGAAUUGGACUGCAUACUCUUUGAUUGUACAUAAUUUAGUCUUCAACGUCACUUUCUUCUGUCCUGUGCCCAUAUAGUUCACACUUUCAAGUCUUGAAUUCUUGAUGCCUUUAGCUUUGCUAAGGUAUUUUUGUCAAAUACUCCCUCUGUAAACUAACAUAAGAGCUUUUAGAUCACUAAAGUAGUGAUCUAAACGCUCUUAUAUUAGUUUACGGAGGUAGUACAAGAGAGUAACCAAUGAUUCCCUGUGUAGGUUUUUUUUGAUAAAAUAACAAGCACAAAUGGUUAUGCGAUAAGAUAGAUUUGUGUGAAGAGACUUAGUUUUUAUAUGGUGGAACAUUGCCACUGUAAUUCUUUUGAGGUACAUUAUGCAUGCAGAUUGUAUCCUGACCUGUGCACAAGACCUUGCUAUUUCUUCUAGGCUUCAGUCGAAAAAAUUGGAAUUAAAGGCAUUUUGUAUUGAUGAAUGCAUCGGAAUUUAAUCCUGAUGGUCAGAUUUAUGUUCUUAUUCCUAUAUUGUUUUGCAUUUAUAUGGUUAUAUCAAUCUUACGCAUUUUCCUGUUGACACAGUACAAUUCAUGUUCAAAUAUGGAUCCAGUAAAACCGGAAUGACCAAAAGAACUCAAAAAGUAGUUGAUUUUUGUUAAGCAUACUGCUUUUUUAUUUUAGAAUUUAGUUUUGAAAAUGGAGAGAUAUACUGUGCAUUUUUUUGGUUUCCAGGAUAAGGGAUAGCAUGAGCCUGACAAUGACAAAUUAAUUUGUGAGCCUCCUUCCACAAACAUCUAGCUGUAUCAAGCACCAACCUUAAGGACGUGUAUCAAGCAAUAGCUCGUAAUUUGUCCUUGGAAAGUUGACGAAACUCAGCCGUCAUUUUCAGUUGCUCCUAUGCAAAUAAAGCCUAAAUUUGCACCUUUUGAUGCUGGUGAUUAUCAGAGAAAGCAGAUGCACUGGAAAGUUUAUACAGAACUAAGCUAGAGAGAGCAAGAUUUUAUAUGAAAUGUUAAGGAUGCUAAUUUGGUGGAAAUCAGGAAGCAAAGCUAUGCCUGCACUUAUGGUUGAUAUCAAAAUUAUCUACCCCUCCUUUUGACGUUAAAUAGCUGACACGUGUUUUACUGCCCUGCCUAUACUGUGGUGUAUGAUAUGCUCACUUAACAUUAGGUGUAUGCAUGUAACCAAAACCUAUCACAUAUCAGUAUACCUUGGUCUAUUGUUUUGGAUGGUACAAGCUAUGUAAAUUCUACUGGGUCAUACAGUGCUAACUUGUGUUUUCCAACAAACUUCAAAGUAGAACGUGAGCUGUUAGAUUGUUCUGCUGCAUAUAAAAUAUUGCCUGCAAUACUAUAGUUAGUCUACAUCGAACCAUCUGGCUGAUGCUAUUUCUCAAUGUUAGAAGAAUUAUAACAAUAGUACAAAACGAGUUCGCAGUGUUACCUGAAACUUAGUGUGAAAUACUCCAAAUAUUUUUGUUGCCUAUUAGUCCAUAUAUUUAUAAAAUUCCUCUCUUUGAUUACUAACAAUAUAAUAGACGGGUGCAACAACGCGCGCCUUCAUGGUCUAGUAAUUAUAUGAUGAUGUGACAUGCUUGCAUGAUGAGAUAAAUAAGUUAGUGGGAUCACUCUCUAGGUAUAUAUAUGAUACAUAGGUGGGAGGUAAUCUCAGCAAUUCAAACUAUUUUAGUGAAAAGGUAGAUUCAUUAUGGAUGGAUUCUGAUUUUAUAUGAAGUUUUGAAUAGCAUUCAUGUCAAAAAUAAAAGUGCUUUGGUUUUUAAAGUUGAUUUUGAGAAAGGCACAUGACAAAAUUUUAUGGCCUUUUGUUAUGCAAAUGAUGAAAAUGAAAAGAUUCCCUGAUAACUAGAUAGAUUGCAUUAUGCAUACCAUUAGAGGGAGCAUGUUGGGGUUAAGAUCGAUGAUAAUAUUGGAAAUAUUUCUCAACUCACAAAGGGUUGAUACGUCUCCAACGUAUCUAUAGUUUUUGAUUGUUCCAUGCUAUUAUAUUAUCUGUUUUGGAUGUUUUAUAUGCAUUAAUAUGCUAUUUUACAUUAUUUUUGGGACUAACCUAUUAACCUAGAGCCUAGUGCCACCUUCUGUUUUUUUCCUUGUUUUUGAGUUUUAUACAAAAGGAACAUCAAACGGAGUCCAAAUGAGCUGAAAAUUUACAGUGAUUUUUUAUGGACCAAAAGAGACCCCCGAAGCAUCGGAGCUAGACGAGAAGAGUCCCGAGGAGUCCACAAGCCAGGGGCGCGCCCUACCCCCUGGGCGUGCCCUGAGGGCUUGUGGGCCCCUCGAGCACCUCCUUGACUUGUUUCCGACGCCAAAAAUUCUUGUAAAUAUAGAAGCCUCCAGAAAGAAAC